rnacentral:rRNA from 1 species
UACGUAGGGUGCGAGCGUUAAUCGGAAUUACUGGGCGUAAAGCGUGCGCAGGCGGUGAUGUAAGACCGAUGUGAAAUCCCCGGGCUUAACCUGGGAACUGCAUUGGUGACUGCAUUGCUGGAGUAUGGCAGAGGGGGGUGGAAUUCCUGGUGUAGCAGUGAAAUGCGUAGAUAUCAGGAGGAACAUCGAUGGCGAAGGCAGCCCCUUGGACCUGUACUGACGCUCAUGCACGAAAGCGUGGGGAGCAAACAGG